rnacentral:rRNA from 1 species
AAAAGACUUAGUCCUAACCUUUCUAUUGGUUUUUGCUAGACAUAUACAUGCAAGUAUCCGCAUCCCAGUGAAAAUGCCCCCAAACCUUUCUUCCCAAGCAAAAGGAGCAGGUAUCAGGCACACUCAGCAGUAGCCCAAGACGCCUUGCUUAAGCCACACCCCCACGGGUACUCAGCAGUAAUUAACCUUAAGCAAUAAGUGUAAACUUGACUUAGCCAUAGCAACCCAGGGUUGGUAAAUCUUGUGCCAGCCACCGCGGUCAUACAAGAAACCCAAAUCAAUAGCUACCCGGCGUAAAGAGUGGCCACAUGUUAUCUGCACCAGCUAAAAUUAAAAUGCAACCAAGCUGUCAUAAGCCUAAGAUCCACCUAAACCCAACCCAAAUCCAUCUUAGCCUAAACGAUUAAUUUUAACCCACGAAAGCUAGGACCCAAACUGGGAUUAGAUACCCCACUAUGCCUAGCCCUAAAUCUAGAUACCUCCCAUCACACAUGUAUCCGCCUGAGAACUACGAGCACAAACGCUUAAAACUCUAAGGACUUGGCGGUGCCCCAAACCCACCUAGAGGAGCCUGUU